GACAGAGGGGGCAAGCGUUGCUCGGAAUUACUGGGCGUAAAGGGCGCGUAGGCGGGAUGGCAAGUCGGUCGUGAAAUCCUUCGGCUCAACCGAAGAACGUCGAUCGAUACUGCUGUUCUUGAGGGUUGCAGAGGAGACUGGAAUUCCCGGUGUAGCGGUGAAAUGCGCAGAUAUCGGGAGGAACACCGGUGGCGAAGGCGGUUCUCUGGGCCUUACCUGACGCUGAGGAGCGAAAGCUAGGGGAGCAAACGGG
rnacentral:rRNA from 1 species